CCUACGGGAGGCAGCAGUGGGGAAUAUUGCACAAUGGGGGUAACCCUGAUGCAGCGACGCCGCGUGAGUGAAGAAGUAAUUCGUUAUGUAAAGCUCUAUCAGCAGGGAAGAAAAUGACGGUACCUGAGUAAGAAGCCACGGCUAACUACGAGCCAGCAGCGGCGGUAAGACGUAGGGGGGAAGCGUUAUUCGGAUUUACUGGGGGUAAAGGGAGCGUGAACGGCAUUGCAAGGCUAGAGUGAAAGGCGGGGGCUCAACCCCCGGACUGCUCUGGAAACUGUACGUCUGGAGUGCAGGAGAGGUAAGUGGAAUUCGUGGUGUAGCGGUGAAAUGCGUAGAUAUUAGGAGGAACACCAGUGGCGAAGGCGGCUUACUGGACUCUAACUGACGUUGAGGCACGAAAGCGUGGGGAGCGAACAGGAUUAGAUACCCUAGUAGUC
rnacentral:rRNA from 1 species